rnacentral:rRNA from 1 species
UACGUAGGCAGCGAGCGUUUGUUCGGAAUUACUGGGCGUAAAGCGUGCGUAGGCGGUGCCUCAAGUUUGGUGUGAAAUCUCCCGCUCAACCGGGAGGGUGCGCCGAAAACUGAGGUGCUCGAGUGUGGGAGAGGUAAGCGGAAUUCCUGGUGUAGCGGUGAAAUGCGUAGAUAUCAGGAGGAACACCGGCGGUGUAGACGGCUUACUGGACCAUAACUGACGCUGAGGCACGAAAGUGUGGGGAGCAAACAGG